rnacentral:rRNA from 1 species
AACGAACGCUGGCGGCAUGCCUAACACAUGCAAGUCGAACGAGAUCUUCGGGUCUAGAGGCGCACGGGUGCGUAACGCGUGGGAAUCUGCCCUUUGGUUCGGAAUAACAGUUGGAAACGACUGCUAAUACCGGAUGAUGACGAAAGUCCAAAGAUUUAUCGCCAGAGGAUGAGCCCGCGUAGGAUUAGCUAGUUGGUGUGGUAAAGGCGCACCAAGGCGACGAUCCUUAGCUGGUCUGAGAGGAUGAUCAGCCACACUGGGACUGAGACACGGCCCAGACUCCUACGGGAGGCAGCAGUGGGGAAUCUUGGACAAUGGGCGAAAGCCUGAUCCAGCAAUGCCGCGUGAGUGAUGAAGGCCUUAGGGUUGUAAAACUCUUUUACCCGGGAUGAUAAUGACAGUACCGGGAGAAUAAGCUCCGGCUAACUCCGUGCCAGCCGCCGCCGUAA